rnacentral:rRNA from 1 species
AAGCUCUGUUGUUAAAGAAGAACGUGGGUAAGAGUAACUGUUUACCCAGUGACGGUAUUUAACCAGAAAGCCACGGCUAACUACGUGCCAGCAGCCGCGGUAAUACGUAGGUGGCAAGCGUUAUCCGGAUUUAUUGGGCGUAAAGCGAGCGCAGGCGGUCUUUUAAGUCUAAUGUGAAAGCCUUCGGCUCAACCGAAGAAGUGCAUUGGAAACUGGGAGACUUGAGUGCAGAAGAGGACAGUGGAACUCCAUGUGUAGCGGUGAAAUGCGUAGAUAUAUGGAAGAACACCAGUGGCGAAGGCGGCUGUCUGGUCUGCAACUGACGCUGAGGCUCGAAAGCAUGGGUAGCGAACAGGAUUAGAUACCCUGGUAGUCCAUGCCGUAAACGAUGAUUACUAAGUGUUGGAGGGUUUCCGCCCUUCAGUGCUGCAGCUAACGCAUUAAGUAAUCCGCCUGGGGAGUACGACCGCAAGGUUGAAACUCAAAAGAAUUGACGGGGGCCCCCACAAGCGGUGGA